rnacentral:piRNA from 1 species
UGUGAUGUUACUUUCGCAAAC